rnacentral:lncRNA from 1 species
CCAAAAAGAACUGUGAAUUCUUAAGAAUACAGGAAAAGAAGGGACCUCAGGGCUAUUAUCCCCAAGGCCUUCUGUGGGGCAGGACGAUUGAGGCUGGAAGGGGCUGAUUUCAUCCUCUUCUGAAAGCACUGCAAAAGUGAAUUCUAGGGCUUCCUUCCAGAGAAGCCUUCAGAAUGACUCAGGAGUCUUUUCAUCUCUUCACCGAAUUUCUCUUUCCUCACUGUAAUUCAAUUUAAUUUUAGAAAAUUAGAGUAUAGAGUACUGGCUGCAAACACAAAAACAUACAAAUGCUACUUCAAAGAGCUUUUACUCUAGGAAGGAGGGCACGCAUCUUCUAGUAAGCUCUGAUGUUUUUCUCUGACCUCAGUGAAAAUACAACGCUUUUUAUUUCCAGUCAUAGGUUUGGAAUGUACUAUCACACAGGGACAUGCCGCUCAGCCUUUUCUAACCCCCAUCGUAACAUGCUAAAGAGAAACUGAUGAAAUCGUUUGCUCAAGGACAUGUCUUUUAGCAGAUGGGGCCAGAGUUAAACCUUGGUAAUGGCUGAUUCUAAAAUCUAAGAUAUGAUUUCUCAUGUGCAAAUUCUAAAAUCAGGAAAAGUCUGAAAACAAAGUCAUAUUUGUAGAACUGACACCAAAAUACAUAUGGCAGCAAAAAGUGAGCAGAUUUAUACAAUAUUGAUGACAAGCUUUCUAAGUCCUUUAUUCUGAAUAUGUAUACAAUUAGUACAGAAGUAUUAACGUAUUUUACAAAUAGAUGACUGCUCUAGCCCUGCUUAGGGUCCUGUGGAAAAAUAUGGUGAAUAUACCAUAUUUUGAAGAUUGAAAAAGAAAAGAAGAACUCUGAAGCCUGUAUCUCCUCAAGGGUUUUUCUUGGGGACAGUGGACCAUGAUGUAAUUCCUCCCAAGGAAAGUGUAGAGAGCAAUAACUCUUGCCGUAGAAUACAAUAUUUUGUAAAACAUGCAUCAAAAUAUCAGAACUGAAUGUAACCUUUAAGUGAAUGUAAUUUAACUUCCUCCUCAAUUAAAAACCUUCUUUCUGCUGCUGACAGCUGUCCAUUCAGCUAACCUGAUGUUCUCUAUUACUGGUGGCCUAUUUAUUGCUGCUCAGUCAGGGUUAAUAGAAAAUUCAGCUGGGCUUGGUGGCUCAUGCCUGUAAUAUCAGCACUUUGGGAGGCCGAGGCGGGCAGGUCAUGAGGUCAGGAGUUCAAGAUCAGCCUGACCAACAUAGUGAAACCCUGUCUUUAUUAAAGAUACAAAAAUUAGCAGGGCGUGGUGGCGGGCACCCAUAAUCCCAGCUACUUGGGAGGCUGAGGCGGAAGAAUCUCUUGAACCCGGGAGGCAGAGGUUGCAGUGAGCCGAGAUCAUGCCAUUGCACUCCAGCCUGGGCUAUAGGAGAGAAACUCCGUCUCUAAAAAAAAAAAAAAAAAAGAAAGAAAGAAAAAGAAAAAAAGAGAAAAUUCUUCCUUCAGUUUAGCCACGUUGUCCUUCUCCAUAACAUCCCCAAUGGAUUCUGUUCUGUCUCAUGACCAAGCGGCAGAAACAGGCCCAAGUGUGGUCCUUGCAACGACGGUGCCACUCACAGCACCAGGCCUUCCAGCGGUUGUUUUAUUUUAUUUUAUUUUUACUUUUUUGAGACAGAGUCUCACUCUGUUGCCCAGGCUGGAGUGCAGUGGCACUAUCUUGGCUCACUGCAACCUCCGCCUCCCAGGUUCAAGCGAUUCUCGUGCCUCAGCCUCCCGAGUAUCUGGGAUUACAGGUGCGAGCUACCACGCCCAGCUACUUUUUUAGUAGAGAUGGGGUUUAGCCAUGUUGCCCAGGCUAGUCUCAAACUCCUGAGCUCAGGCAAUCCGCCUGCCUCGGCCUCCCAAAGUGCUAGAUUACAGGCGUGAGCGACCGCGCCGGCACAGUGGUUGCUUUAAAAUUUAAUUAUUCACUUAAAACAUUUCAAAGUGACUUGAGAUCUUUCAUUCAAAGUUUACACCCAUAAAUAUUUGAUGCCAUUGGAUGGAUGCUUUUAGCUUUCUGUAGCUGUGAUUUUUACCCCCUAAUUUUGUAGAUGAAGCUUUUAAAACACUCCACUCAUUUGAAAUAAAAAUAACAAAGGAAAGGCUGAACAAAUUCAAGUGUCUUUCCUCUUUUCUGUCUCCUUGCAGGAAAAAAUCAUAUUUCUUGGGCAGAGUGUAUAUACUGUAUCUUUUUCAAUGACUGGUUUGAGAAUGGAGUUUAUGAUUCAGGGACCUCAGAAAGGCCGUUGUCUAGGGAUAAAUUAGAUCUAGCUGCAAGUCUGAAGGUGUAUGUUUCCAAAAUAGUCUUAGGAUAAAUUAAGCCAUUUACUUCUGAGCUGGACUUUUUUUUAAUUUAAAAAAAUGGAUUUUAGGAAACCAAGAAAGCAACAUUAACAAAGACCCUGUGAAGCCUGAGAAUCUCAUUUCCUGAUUUCACGGUGUCUUCUAAGUGGCUGCUGGUGGCUAAGGCAGGCCUCAUGUUGGCAAAUGUUUCUUUCCGUCAUACGUGGGUCUUUGGAGACCUGGAGAUGGUGCAAAGUCGAAUGGAUGGCAUCCAUCCUGUUACUGGGAAAUGCGGUCCGGUGGGGUGGGGAAGGUUCCACACACCCACAUUCCCCAGGUCACCAGUUACUCUGAGAUUUGAAAGCCCUAACAGGGAAAGGACAAGUCCCUGUUCACCGUGCCCCUUGGCAAUUGGCUACACAUGCAUUUGUGUUAUCUUUGAGCCCGAUCCUCACCACCCCAACCUCACACGGAGACUCCAUGACUCUAGACAGAAAGUAUGCAUUUUCCCAUAGGCAAAAUUUCCUGCACCAGCAAACUCAAGGUUUUCCCCUGACGUGAUUUAGCCUUCCGGCCGCAGUUCCUGCUCUUCCUUCCCCUCACCCUUUCCUGCCUGUGGGGCCCGCUCAAGCUAUGCAGAGCAGCUGUGCUGAGUACCACGUUGCUUUAUGGUAAAUUUCAAAGCCUCAGGGUACAAAUUAUUUAUUGGUAGUUAAUUUCCAAUUAGUUUUAUUAAAUUACAGCUGAUGACCUCCUUCUACCUGGAUUAAUUUAACAAAAUGCUCAUGUUUUUCAAAUUAUCUUCUCAUUUCCACUCUAGAUGAGAAAUGUAAUUUUCAGCUUUGGUUGAAGAAACUUGCAUCAUAUCCUGUCUGCUUUAAGCAUUUCGGCAGGUUCAGAAUCCACACACACACACACACACAGGCACACACAUGCAUGCACACACACACACAUGCACACACAGGUAAACAUAUACACAUGCACACAUGGUUCUACACACUUUUGUUUUGAAUGGCCUGGUCAGCUGUGCACUUAGUCUUCCUUCUCUUUUGUCACUAACCAUGCUGUGCAUUACUGGGCUGAACCCACCAGCCUUACACGUUGUUGGUUCUUGAUUUGUGAGAGUGAAUCACAUAGCUUCACUAUGUCUCCAGCUUUCACACACUGGGAUACUCAUGCAUCCACACUGGGGUACACAUGCAUUCAAACACUGGGAUCACACACUGGGGUACUCACGCUCUCACACACUGAGAUACGCACGCAUCCAUGCUGGGGUACUCAUGCUCUCACACACUGAGAUACGCACGCAUUCCCGCUGGGGUACCCACGCUCUCACACACUGAGUUAUGCACGCAUUCCCGCUGGGGUACUCACACUCUCACACACUGAGAUACGCAUGCAUUCAUGCUGGGGUACCCACGCUCUCACACACUGAGAUAUGCACGCAUUCAUGCUGGGGUACCCACGCUGUCACACAUUGAGAUAUGCACGCAUUCAUGCUGGGGUACCCACGCUCUCACACACUGAGGUACGCACGCAUUCCCUCUGGGGUACUCACGCUCUCACACACUGAGAUACGCACGCAUUCCCAUUGGGGUACUCACGAUCUCACACAGUGAGAUACGCACGCAUUCAUGCUGGGGUACUGACGCUCUCACACACUGAGAUACGCACGCUUUCCCGCUGGGAUACUCACGCUCUCACACACUGAGAUACGCACGCAUUCAUGCUGGGGUACUCACGCUCUCACACACUGAGAUACGCACGCAUUCCCGCUGGGGUACUCACACUCUCACACACUGAGAUAUGCACACAUUCCCGCUGGGGUACUCAUGCUCUCAAACACUGAGAUAUGCACGCAUUCAUACUGGGGUACCCAUGCUCUCACACACUGAGAUACGCACGCAUUCCCGCUGGGGUACCCACGCUC